GAUGAACGCUGGCGGCGUGCCUAACACAUGCAAGUCGAACGGAGUCCAGCCUUUAAGACCUUCGGGUCAAAGAGGGGAAGACUGAGUGGCGGACGGGUGAGUAACACGUGGGCAACCUGGCUCAUAGAGGGGGAUAACAGAGAGAAAUUUCUGCUAAUACCGCAUAAGCACACACUGCCGCAUGGCAGAGGGUGAAAAGAGAAUCGCUAUGAGAUGGACCCGCGUCUGAUUAGCCAGUUGGCAGGGUAAGAGCCUACCAAAGCGACGAUCAGUAGCCGAUCUGAGAGGAUGAACGGCCACAUUGGGACUGAGACACGACCCAAACUCCUACGGGAGGCAGCAGUGGGGGAUAUUGCACAAUGGGGGGAACCCUGAUGCAGCGACGCCGCGUGAGUGAAGAAGUAUUUCGGUAUGUAAAGCUCUAUCAGCAGGGAAGAUAAUGACAGUACCUGAAUAAGAAGCCCCGGCUAACUACGUG
rnacentral:rRNA from 1 species